rnacentral:rRNA from 1 species
UGGGGAAUAUUGGACAAUGGGCGAAAGCCUGAUCCAGCCAUGCCGCGUGUGUGAAGAAGGUCUUCGGAUUGUAAAGCACUUUAAGUUGGGAGGAAGGGCAUUAACCUAAUACGUUAGUGUUUUGACGUUACCGACAGAAUAAGCACCGGCUAACUCUGUGCCAGCAGCCGCGGUAAUACAGAGGGUGCAAGCGUUAAUCGGAAUUACUGGGCGUAAAGCGCGCGUAGGUGGUUUGUUAAGUUGGAUGUGAAAUCCCCGGGCUCAACCUGGGAACUGCAUUCAAAACUGACUGACUAGAGUAUGGUAGAGGGUGGUGGAAUUUCCUGUGUAGCGGGGAAAUGCGUAGAUAUAGGAAGGAACACCAGUGGUGAAGGCGACCACCUGGACUAAUACUGACACUGAGGUGCGAAAGCGUGGGGAGCAAACA